UGGGGAAUUUUGGACAAUGGGCGAAAGCCUGAUCCAGCCAUGCCGCGUGAGUGAAGAAGGCCUUCGGGUUGUAAAGCUCUUUUAGUCGGAAAGAGAGAGUUGCAAUGAAUAAUUGUGAUUUAUGACGGUACCGACAGAAAAAGCACCGGCUAACUACGUGCCAGCAGCCGCGGUAAUACGUAGGGUGCGAGCGUUAAUCGGAAUUACUGGGCGUAAAGGGUGCGCAGGCGGUCUUGCAAGUCAGAUGUGAAAGCCCCGGGCUUAACCUGGGAAUUGCGUUUGAAACUACAAGGCUAGAGUGCAGCAGAGGGGAGUGGAAUUCCAUGUGUAGCAGUGAAAUGCGUAGAGAUGUGGAAGAACACCGAUGGCGAAGGCAGCUCCCUGGGUUGACACUGACGCUCAUGCACGAAAGCGUGGGGAGCAAACA
rnacentral:rRNA from 1 species